AUUGAACGCUGGCGGCAGGCUUAACACAUGCAAGUCGAACGAGUGGCGGACGGGUGAGUAAUGUCUGGGAAACUGCCUGAUGGAGGGGGAUAACUACUGGAAACGGUAGCUAAUACCGCAUACCAUCGGAUGUGCCCAGAUGGGAUUAGCUAGUCGGUGGGGUAAUGGCUCACCUAGGCGACGAUCCCUAGCUGGUCUGAGAGGAUGACCAGCCAACCUGGAACUGAGACACGGUCCAGACUCGGCCGGGAGGAAGCAGUGGGGAAUAUGGCACAAUGGGCGCAAGCUGGAUGGAGAAAUGCCGCGUGUGUGAAGAAGGCCUUCGGGUUGUAAAGUACUUUCAGCGGGGAGGCGUUACCCGCAGAAGAAGCACCGGCUAACUCCGUGCCAGCAGCCGCGGUAAUAC
rnacentral:rRNA from 1 species